UACGAAGGGGGCUAGCGUUGCUCGGAAUGACUGGGCGUAAAGGGCGCGUAGGCGGAUUGUACAGUCAGGCGUGAAAUUCCCGGGCUCAACCUGGGGGCUGCGCUUGAGACGUGCGAUCUUGAGUGGGGUAGAGGGUCGUGGAAUUCCCAGUGUAGAGGUGAAAUUCGUAGAUAUUGGGAAGAACACCGGUGGCGAAGGCGGCGACCUGGUCCUUGACUGACGCUGAGGCGCGAAAGCGUGGGGAGCAAACAGG
rnacentral:rRNA from 1 species